rnacentral:rRNA from 1 species
AUUGAACGCUGGCGGAAUGCUUUACACAUGCAAGUCGAACGGCAGCACGGGGGCAGCCCUGGUGGCGAGUGGCGAACGGGUGAGUAAUACAUCGGAACGUGCCCAGUCGUGGGGGAUAACGUAGCGAAAGUUACGCUAAUACCGCAUACGAUCUACGGAUGAAAGCGGGGGACCGUAAGGCCUCGCGCGAUUGGAGCGGCCGAUGUCAGAUUAGCUAGUUGGUGAGGUUACGGCUCACCAAGGCUCCGAUGGGUAGCCGGCCUGAGAGGGCGACCGGCCACAGUGGAACUGAGACACGGUCCACACUCCUACGGGAGGCAGCAGUGAGGAAUCCUGCGCAAUGGGCGAAAGCCUGACGCAGCGACGCCGCGUGGACGAUGAAGGCCUUCGGGUCGUAAAGUCCUGUCGGGUGGGAAGAAAAUUCCGGAGCUAACAUCUCCGGGACUUGACUGUACCACCAAAGGAAGCCCCGGCUAACUCCGUGCCAGCCGCCGCAGUAA